rnacentral:rRNA from 1 species
GAUGAACGCUGGCGGCGUGCCUAAUACAUGCAAGUCGAGCGAACAGACGAGGAGCUUGCUCCUCUGACGUUAGCGGCGGACGGGUGAGUAACACGUGGAUAACCUACCUAUAAGACUGGGAUAACUUCGGGAAACCGGAGCUAAUACCGGAUAAUAUAUUGAACCGCAUGGUUCAAUAGUGAAAGACGGUUUUGCUGUCACUUAUAGAUGGAUCCGCGCCGCAUUAGCUAGUUGGUAAGGUAACGGCUUACCAAGGCAACGAUGCGUAGCCGACCUGAGAGGGUGAUUGGCCACACGGGAAGUGAGACACGGUCCAGACUCCUACGGGAGGCAGCAGUAGGGAAUCUUCCGCAAUGGGCGAAAGCCUGACGGAGCAACGCCGCGUGAGUGAUGAAGGUCUUCGGAUCGUAAAACUCUGUUAUUAGGGAAGAACAAAUGUGUAAGUAACUAUGCACGUCUUGACGGUACCUAAUCAGAAAGCCACGGCUAACUACGUG